rnacentral:rRNA from 1 species
UACGGAGGGUGCGAGCGUUAAUCGGAAUUACUGGGCGUAAAGGGUGCGUAGGUUGUUUGUUAAGUUAUCUGUGAAAUUCCUGGGCUUAACCUGGGCAGGUCAGAUAAUACUGAUGAACUAGAGUAUAGGAGAGGGUAGGGGAAUUUCCGGUGUAGCGGUGAAAUGCGUAGAGAUCGGAAGGAACACCAGUGGCGAAGGCGCCUACCUGGCCAGAUACUGACACUGAGGCACGAAAGCGUGGGGAGCAAACAGG